rnacentral:rRNA from 1 species
UACGGAGGGUGCGAGCGUUGUCCGGAAUCACUGGGCGUAAAGGGCGCGUAGGCGGCCUGGUAAGUAGGGGGUGAAAUCCUGCGGCUUAACCGCAGGGCUGCCUUCUAAACUGUCAGGCUCGAGCACGGUAGAGGCAGAUGGAAUUCCCGGUGUAGCGGUGGGAUGCGUAGAGAUCGGGAAGAACAUCAGUGGCGAAGGCGGUCUGCUGGGCCGUUGCUGACGCUGAGGCGCGACAGCGUGGGGAGCAAACAGG